rnacentral:rRNA from 1 species
GCCUACGGGGCGCAGCAGUCGAGAAUCAUUCACAAUGGGGGAAACCCUGAUGGUGCGACGCCGCGUGGGGGAAUGAAGGUCUUCGGAUUGUAAACCCCUGUCAUGUGGGAGCAAAUUAAAAAGAUAGUACCACAAGAGGAAGAGACGGCUAACUCUGUGCCAGCAGCCGCGGUAAUACAGAGGUCUCAAGCGUUGUUCGGAAUCACUGGGCGUAAAGCGUGCGUAGGCUGUCUCGUAAGUCGUGUGUGAAAGGCGCGGGCUCAACCCGCGGACGGCACAUGAUACUGCGCGACUCGAGUAAUGGG